UCUCCGUUGGUGAACCAGCGGAGGGAUCAUUACAGGACUCGCAAGACUCCUACAACCCUGUGAACUUAACUAUAAGCACGUUGCUUCGGCGGGUGUCUCGGAGGGGGUUCUCCCUCCCCGGGACGCUAAACCCGCCGGCAGCCUACUAUACUCUGUCUCUUUGCGUUGGCAUCUCGAGUACAAUCAAACAAGUUAAAACUUUCAACAACGGAUCUCUUGGUUCUG
rnacentral:misc_RNA from 1 species